rnacentral:rRNA from 1 species
UCUGGUUGAUCCUGCCAGUAGUCAUAUGCUUGUCUCAAAGAUUAAGUUAUGUAUGUGUGAGUAUAAGCAAAACUAUACAGUGAAACUGCGAAUGGCUCAUUAAAUUAGUUAUCGUUUAUUUGAUAAUGUCUUUACUACAUGGGUAACUGUGGUAAUUCUAGAGUUAAUAUAUGUUUAAAAUCCCGACUUAUGGAGGGAUGUAUUUAUUAGAUAAAAAACCAAUAGGCUUUUGGCCUUUUUUUUGGUGAUUUAUGAUAACUUAACGAAUCGCAUGGCCUUGUGCCGGCGAUGGUUCAUUCAAAUUUCUGCCCUAUUAAUUUUCGAUGGUAGGAUGGUGGUCUACCAUGGUUUUAACGGGUAAUGGGGAAUUAGGGUUCUAUUCCGGAGAGGGAGCCUGAGAAAUGGCUACCACAUCCAAGGAAGGCAGCAGGCGCGCAAAUUAUCCAAUCCUAACCUGGGGAGGUAGUGAUAAUAAAUACUGAUACAGGGCUCUUUUGGGUCUUGUAAUUGGAAUGAGUAUAAUUUAAAUCCCUUAACGAGGAAUAAUUGGAGGGCAAGUCUGGUGCCAGCAGCCGCGGUAAUUCCAGCUCCAAUAGCGUAUAUUAAAGUUGUUGCAGUUAAAAAGCUCGUAGUUGAACCUUGGGUCUUGUUAGCGGGUGCCUCCUGAUGGGGGUUAUCGUUGACAGGUAGGGCCUUUCUCUUUGAGUAGUCCGGCGUGCCCUUUGUUGGGUGUGCCGGGCAAUCGGGACUUUUAUUUUGAAGAAAUUAGAGUGUUCAAAGCAGGCAUAUGCUUGGAUAUAUUAGCAUGGAAUAAUAGAAUAGGACGUUUCGGCUUAUUUUGUUGGUAUUGACGGCUGGCCGUAAUGAUUAAUAGGGAUAGUCGGGGGCAUCAGUAUUCAAUUGUCAGAGGUGGAAUUUUUGGAUUUAUUGAAGACUAACUAUUGCGAAAGCAUUUGCCAAGGAUGUUUUCAUUAAUCAGUGAACGAAAGUUAGGGGAUCGAAGAUGAUUGGAUAUCGUCGUAGUCUUAACCAUAAACUAUGUCGAUUAGGGAUCGGGCGAUGUUGUUGUAUUGAUUCGCUCGGCACCUUACGAGAAAUUAAAGUUUUUGGGUUCUGGGGGGAGUAUGGUCGUAAGGCUGAAACUUAAAGGAAUUGACGGAAGGGCACCACCAGGAGUGGAGCCUGCGGCUUAAUUUGAUUCAACACGGGGAAACUCACCAGGUCCAGAUAUAUUAAGGAUUGAUAGAUUGGGAGU